GGGGUUGUGGCUCAGUGGUAGAGUGCUCAUCUCGCACGUGAGAGACCCUGGGUUCAAUCCUCAGCAACACAU
rnacentral:tRNA from 1 species